rnacentral:rRNA from 1 species
UACGUAGGGUGCGAGCGUUAAUCGGAAUUACUGGGCGUAAAGCGUGCGCAGGCGGUUUUGUAAGCCAGAUGUGAAAUCCCCGGGCUCAACCUGGGAACUGCAUUUGGGACUGCAAGGCUAGAGUACGGCAGAGGGGGGUAGAAUUCCUGGUGUAGCAGUGAAAUGCGUAGAUAUCAGGAGGAAUACCGAUGGCGAAGGCAGGUCUCUGGGCUGACACUGACGCUCAUGCACGAAAGCGUGGGGAGCAAACAGG